rnacentral:rRNA from 1 species
UACGUAGGUGACAAGCGUUGUCCGGAUUUACUGGGCGUAAAGAGCGCGCAGGCGGUCGUUCAAGUCGCGUGUGAAAGCCCCCGGCUCAACUGGGGAGGGUCACGCGAUACUGAUCGACUCGAAGGCAGGAGAGGGUAGUGGAAUUCCCGGUGUAGUGGUGAAAUGCGCAGAUAUCAGGAGGAACACCAAUUGCGAAGGCAGCUCGCUGGGACGUAACUGACGCUGAGACGCGAAAGCGUGGGGAGCAAACAGG